rnacentral:rRNA from 1 species
UACGGGGGGAGCAAGCGUUGUUCGGAUUUACUGGGCGUAAAGGGCGCGUAGGCGGUCAGCACAAGUCAGUUGUGAAAUCUCCGGGCUUAACUCGGAAAGGUCAACUGAUACUGUGCGACUAGAGUGCAGAAGGGGCAACUGGAAUUCUCGGUGUAGCGGUGAAAUGCGUAGAUAUCGAGAGGAACACCUGCGGCGAAGGCGGGUUGCUGGGCUGACGCUGACGCUGAUGCGCGAAAGCCAGGGAGCGAACGGG